CUGAGUCUGAAAGGCACUGUGGCUCAGAGAGGGCAUUUGGCUUGUACACAGCAAGCAGGGAAGUGGGAAUUUCAAAGGGGCCAAAAUGGCGAAGGAGGAACCCUGAAUCAGCUGCCAGAGCUGGGAUGCCUGUUCCUGUAAUGAUUACACUGAAAUUACUUCCAUCCAGAAUGGAAUACAUAUAUACUCUCACCAAAGAAAGGGUUUUUUUUUUUUUUUUAACGCGAGACUUGUUUUUAAAAUCAUCACUUGCUCUUUAUGAGUAUGCAGUGACAUCAUGGUGCUAGUCAUAAAAAUAUAGCGAAAGUAGGAGAGACAUAUCAUCUUUUGUCCACAGUUAGACAAACAACAAACAUUUAGAAAAUUUCAGGUUGUUGCUGUCAAGUACUAAAGCCACCAUCUGCAUAAGGCAUGGCAACCCAAGGUUAAACCCUAAAAUGGAAUCUCUCUGAGUCAGGGUCUCUGCCCACUGAACCAGCCUGAAGGUUAAGCAAGGUCAAGAAGCAGCUGCAGAGAAUGAAUCACCGGCUUCCUCCUCACCAGCAGGGGCUCCAGCCUGCUUGCCGUCUGAUUCUAUGCCUGUAUACCUGCUUUCUGGUCUCAGGCUACCUCUGCUUGCAGUGACACCUUGAACUCUCUUGACAUGAGUGUGUCUCUUUGCUGGCCCCUGUCCAAGUUUGUCCUCUGAUAUGAAGUGUGAUUCUGUCCCGGCAAAUUAACCUUUUCAGGUUUGAUUGCUGGACCCUCUUUUAUUAGGAAGUAUAUGGCCUGAAAAUGCAUGGAUUCAGGCACUUUUCAGGAUGUUGGACAGAUCUGCAGAGAUUAGAGAGCAGGUGUCCAUACUCAAGGGGACAGUUAUUUGCAGAGCUGGAUGUCCUUACUGAACUCUGGAGGGUUGGCAGCAGGUGAGGUUUGGUGGAGAGAGAUCAGGAUCAUCUAGAGUGCCUUUUAGACUCCCUGCACAUGCUCUUGGAAAUAAUGCUAUACCCUCUCCCAAACAGGGCGUAUUCAAACCCCCCACAUAGGGAAUACUGUUGAUGUGAGUCACUGUUACUCGUGACAGCUUCUUACUCCACAGAAGUGCUGAACACAGGCCCUGCAUCACCCGGCCCUCACCAAAAUUCAGUGGCAACAGAUGCCUGACACAGGAUGCAGGUGCAAGGGUGCUGAGGGUCUGUGCUUCAGUGCCUCAGCCGCUGCUGUCACUGGGAUAUGCCAGAGCCAGCUGUUCAGCAUUUUGGGCAUCACUGCUGUCUGUGCUGAAGGCCAACCUCCUCCACAGCCAUCAAAGUGAUGCUUACGAGACCCAAAGCUGAUCAAGCCAUCGACCACUUAGAUUCUGCAGGCACUCUCUGUCACGUAAGUGUAAUGCAUUAGUCUCUCAGCGUGACCAGAAGGUGUUGAUGAUGUGAUGUGUCUGUUCUUAUCUCUUAGCACUGCCUUUGCUCUGCCUCCUUUCAGAUGUAUCAAAUAUUUGAAGUUGUCUGAGCAAACCAUGGUCAGAUUGGGGGGCCUCUGUCUGCACAGGCCACUCCCUCUCCCUGGGAAGCCUCUUUGGCCUUUCUUUCCUUCCUGCUGCCCACCCUUCUCCCCAGUAACUUCCACUGUGCUGAUGGGGUUGACCACUUAGCUUCAGCCUGAACCCUUGGUCACUUCUGGUGAAGGCCUGCUCUUGAAAAAAGCACGGCCUUUUUGUCUUUACAGGCCAAACAUUGUAUGUACAACUCAGCCAUGCGGUCACCACCCAGGUGUUUUACACCUUAAGGGCACUCCAGGCCCUCUGUACAGCACACUGCAGGUAAAUCAGCUGGUGAUCAUCGAAUACACAAAUGAAUGGCAAGAACAGAAGGAACUGGCUGGUGGAACAGGCCCAACACCAUGUGGAAGUUGCCAAGGCUUGGGGCCUGCACCCUUUGAAGCAAUGGCCCAAGCUGUACCUUGGCCCCUUUCGGUCAUGGCUGUAGCUGGAGUGUCUGGGACAUGGAGCACCAAGUCCUGAGGCUGAACAGAGCAGCGGGACCUUGGGCCCGGCCCACAAAACUAUUUUUUCCUCCUAGUCCUCUGGGUCUGUGAUGAGAGAGGCUGCUGCCAAGAUCUCUGACAUGCCAUGAAGACAUUUUUUUCCCCAUCGUCUUGAUGAUUAGCAUUUGGUUCCACGUUACUUAUGCAGAUUUCUGCAGUGGCUUGAAUGUCAUCUCAGAAAAUGAGUUUUUCUUUUCUAUCACAUUGUCAGCCUGCAAAUUUUCCAAACUUUUAUAUUCUGCUUCCCUGUUAAACAUAAGUUUCUAUUUCAGAUGACCUCUCCCAGGUUCAAAGUUCCACAGAUCUCUAGGUCAGGGCCAAAAUGCCACCAGUCUCUUUGCUAAAGCAUAGCAAGAGUGACCUUUGCUCCAGUUCCCAAGAAGUUCCUCAUCUCCAUCUGAGACCAUCUCAUUCUGGAUGUCAUUGUUCACAUCAUUACCAGCAUUUUGGUCAAAACCAUUCAACAAUUUUCCAGGAAGUUCCAUACUUUCCCACAUCUUCCUGUCUUCU
rnacentral:lncRNA from 1 species